GUUUCCGUAGUGUAGUGGUUAACACGUUCGCCUCACAAGCAAAAGCUCCACAGUUCGAAAUUGCGUGGAAACA